rnacentral:rRNA from 1 species
UACAUGGGGUGCAAACGUUGCUCGGAAUUAUUGGGCGUAAAGCGCACGUAGGCGGUUCGUUAAGUCGGAUGUGAAAGCCCUCGGCUCAACUGAGGAAGUGCACCCGAAACUGGCGAGCUUGAGUACGAAAGAGGAUCGCGGAAUUCCCGGUGUAGAGGUGAAAUUCGUAGAUAUCGGGAGGAACACCGGUGGCGAAGGCGGCGAUCUGGGUCGAUACCGACGCUGAGGUGCGAAAGCGUGGGGAGCAAACAGG